UGCGGGAUUCAGUUGGGAGAGCGUCAGACUGAAGAUCUGAAGGUCACGUGUUCGAUCCACGUUCACGCAA
rnacentral:tRNA from 1 species